AUGCUCCGCGCCGCCAUCUCGCGCCUCGGCGCCCACCUGCACCGCCAGCCCUCCCCGGCGACCCCUCCCCUCCGCGCGCUCUCCACCGGCCGCGGCAAGCGGUCGUCCCCUACCGCGCCGCCCCCCGAGCCCGAGGACGAGGGCCUCAUGCGCGGCCUCUUCGUGCUCUCCCGCGACCCCGCGCACCCGCCGCGCCUGCUGGUGGUGCAGCCGCGCCUCCGCCGUGGCGCCCUCCUCGACUCCAAGCUCUCCGAGGCGCUCAACCUCGCCAGCUCCCUCGAGGAGUCCCGCGACGGCUUCGAGCACGCCGAGUCCGCCGCCAAGGGCGCGCCACCGCACCUCGUCGUCCAGAACCCAGCCUCCCGCGGCCGCAACCAUGCCGAUACGUAUUUUGGACCUGGAACUGUGGAUAAUAUCAAGUGUUACCUGAGGGCAUUGGACGAAAAGGAAGAAUUAGAUGCAGUUUUUGUUAAUACACUCCUCUCUGGGGUCCAACAGAGGAACUUGGAGGUUGCCUGGGGAAAGCCAGUUUUAGAUCGUGUGGGCCUUAUAAUUGAGAUAUUCAAUGCUCAUGCUGAAACAAAGGAAGCAAAGCUACAGUCAGAGUUAGCAGCUCUCAUGUACAUGAAGACUAGGCUUGUCCGUGUCCGCGGUCCAGGUGGAAAACUAGCUUUUGGUGCAAGUGGGGAAGCUGAAGUUGUCAGUGCCCGAGGGAGAGGAAGUGGCGGACGGGGUUUCAUGAGUGGUGCUGGUGAAACGGAACUUCAACUACAACGCAGGAGAAUCCAGGAACGUCGGCUAAGCUUGUUAGCUCAAAUUGAAGACGUACGCCGAACUAGGGCGAUACAACGUUCGAGUCGAAAGAGGCAUGGUGGCUCAUUUGGUCAAGACCUUGUAACUGUGGCAGUCGUCGGAUAUACAAAUGCUGGAAAAUCUACUCUAGUGAGUGCACUUUCUGGAGCUGGUCUAUACAGUGAUGAUAGAUUAUUUGCAACAGUAGAUCCUCGAUUACGCAGUGUGAUUCUUCCAUCAGGGAGAAAAAUACUUCUCAGUGAUACCGUUGGCUUCAUAUCAGAUUUGCCUGUACAGCUAGUGGAAGCAUUUCAUGCCACCCUGGAAGAAGUUGCUGAGGCAGACAUGUUAGUGCAUGUGUUGGAUUCCAGCGCACCUGAUAUUGAAGAGCAUCGUUCUACUGUUCUACAAGUACUGCAGCAAAUUGGUGUUUCACAGGAUAAGAUCAACAAUAUGAUCGAAGUUUGGAAUAAGAUUGAUCUUGUGGAUAAUAUUGCUUUGACUGAUGGGAUUGAAGACGAGAUCUUCCUCACUGAAGGUGAAGAGGAGGAAGACUUGUUCUCUGAAGAUGAUGUGUCAUCAGAGCAGUCGUCUUUUGAUUCCUUGGAUGAUACAGUGGAUUCAGAGUCUCUAUCAGAAAAAAGUUGUGAAAAUGAUGAUUUAAUGGCAUCUAAAGAAUCGAUUGCUGAGCCUAUCGAGAUGAAAGCAGUGAACUUUGAACUGUUACCGGAAGAUUGUUUUAGAGAGUCUAAUCGCCCGGAAGCUAUAAGUACAAGUGGUUGCACUUUGACAGAGCCAGUAUCCACUUGUCACGUGAAAACUUCAGCUGUGGCUGGGACAGGAUUGCAAGAGCUGCUGCAGUUAAUUGAUACAAAACUGAAUGGACAGCAAACGGUUGUGCAGAGAAGCUAUGGACCUUUUGAUAGAAAAUGGAGACCUAGUUCUAUGGAUGACGAGAAGGCUGCAGAACAGUAG
rnacentral:rRNA from 1 species